CAUAGCGACUAUCGUGGCAUAUCAAUAAGCGGAGGAAAAGAAACUAACAAGGAUUCCCUUAGUAACGGCGAGUGAAGCGGGAAGAGCUCAAAUUUGAAAUCUUCAAGGUUCUACCUUGACGAAUUGUAGUUUAUAGAAGUGUUUUCUGUUAGUAGAGUGGCAAAAGUUCUUUGGAAUAGGACAUCAUAGAGGGUGAGAAUCCCGUAUUUGGUCAUUCUUCCUAGCUUUGUGAUACACUUUCAACGAGUCGGAUUGUUUGGGAAUGCAGUUCAAAAUGGGUGGUAAAUUUCAUCUAAAGCUAAAUAUUGGCGAGAGACCGAUAGCGAACAAGUACCGUGAGGGAAAGAUGAAAAGAACUUUGAAAAGAGAGUUAAACAGUACGUGAAAUUGUCAAAAGGGAAGCGUUUGACACCAGUGUUGUUUUUCCGAAAAUCAAUUACGAAUGUUUAUUUUUGAGGAGUUAUGACUUCAUCGGCUUGCUCCUUUCUUUACUGAAACUUUCUUAAUGCACUUUUCGGUUAACAAGUCAACAUCAAUUUCUUUUGUUGUAAAAGGGUAUGAGGAAGGUGGCUUUCUUUUCGGAGAAAGUGUUUAUAGCCUUGUGCCUCUGCAAUCGGAGAGAUUGAGGUCUGCAGCGUAGAUCCUUCGGGGUUAGAUACAUUUGUGCUAAGUUAUAGUCUUUCAUAGACAACUUGUUGACUAUAAUUUAAUCUUGUAACUUACUCGCUUACUGCUAUUUUACCUACGCUUAGGAUGUUGACGAGACUGUCGAUCUC
rnacentral:rRNA from 1 species